AGAAGCCGCACGUAUAACUUGCUCGGUGUAAGUGCUAGGAAUGCCGCUGGCCUCCCGGGGAAAUGCGUUCUUUCUAUCUAUAGCUCUAUCUGUACAUCCCAGGUCCACGCCAGCUAUUCCAGGGGCAACAACUGCUUCCCUCUGUUCUCUUCUCCCCAUUGGUGGCUUCCGACCCGAAUUUGGGAAUGGGGAGAUCUCCCACCUGUUAUCUUUGAGCAGGCUAAUCUCUUGCAAGCAGAAGUGCCAUUUAAAGUCUUCAAAAGCCAUUUGGCCUGGGACUGAGAAUUUUACCCCCUCCCAACGCCAGGCUUUCCAAAACGUAUUGCUUUUCUCUGAAAAUACUUCAUUUUUUUCCAUUGUAAUUUUUUGCUUUGGUCUAAUUGUGCUCAAAGGGAGGAAACAUCUAUCAGUUUGCUUUUUCAGAUUCAUUCUUUCUCUUUGUUCUGCUAGAGUUAAAACACAUUUAAAACAUGGGUAACUCAUUCGAUUUCGGAGUUCUUUUAAUUCUUGUGAAAGAUUUCAAAUCCUCUAGAAGCCAAAAUGGGACACAGUAAACAGAUUAGAAUUUUACUUCUGAACGAAAUGGAAAAGCUGGAAAAGACCCUCUUCAGACUUGAACAAGGGUUUGAACUGCAGUUCCGGUUAGGCCCAACUUUGCAGGGAAAACCAGUUACCGUGUAUACCAAUUACCCAUAUCCUGGAGAAGCAUUUAAUCGUGAAAAAUUUCGUUCCCUGGAAUGGGAAAAUCCCACAGAAAGAGAAGAUGAUUCUGAUAAAUACUGUAAACUUAAUCUUCAACAAGCUGGAUCAUUUCAGUAUUACUUCCUUCAAGGAAAUGAGAAAAGUGGUGGGGGUUACAUAGUUGUGGAUCCUAUUUUACGUGUUGGUGCUGAUAACCAUGUGUUACCCUUGGACUGCGUUACUCUCCAGACGUUUUUAGCCAAGUGUAUGGGACCCUUUGAUGAAUGGGAAAGCAGACUUAGGGUUGCAAAGGAAUCAGGCUACAACAUGAUUCAUUUAACCCCGUUGCAAACUCUUGGACUAUCUAGGUCAUGCUACUCCCUUGCUGAUCAGUUAGAAUUAAAUCCUGAUUUUUCAAGACCUAAUAAAAAGUACACCUGGACUGAUGUUGGGCAGCUAGUGGAAAAGUUGAAAAAGGAAUGGAAUAUGCUCUGUAUUACUGAUGUUGUCUACAACCAUACUGCUGCUAACAGUAGAUGGCUCCACGAACAUCCAGAAAGUGCAUAUAACCUUGUGAAUUCCCCGCACUUAAAACCUGCCUUCGUCUUAGACAGAGCACUUUGGCAUUUAUCCUCUGAUGUCGCAGAAGGAAGAUACAAAGAAAGAGGAGUACCUGCUUUGAUCGAAAAUGACCAUCAUAUGAAUUGCAUUCGAAAAAUAAUUUGGGAGGAUAUUUUUCCAAAGAUUCAACUCUGGGAAUUUUUCCAAGUAGACGUUAACAAAGCAGUUGAGCAAUUUAGAGGACUUCUCACACAAGAAAAUAGGAAAACGACGAAGCCCGAUCCAAAACAACACCUUAAGAUCAUUCAGGAUCCUGAGUACCGACGGCUUGGCUGUGCUGUGGAUAUGAACAUUGCACUAGCAACUUUCAUACCACAUGACAAUGGGCCAGCCGCCAUUGAUGAAUGCUGCAAUUGGUUCCGUAAGAGAAUUGAGGAAUUAAAUUCAGAGAAGCAUCAACUCGUGAACUAUCAUCAGGAACAGGCAGUCAAUUGCCUUUUGGGAAAUGUGUUUUAUGAACGACUGGCUGGCCAUGGUCCCAAACUAGGACCUGUCACUAGAAAACAUCCUUUAGUGACGAGAUAUUUUACUUACCCGUUUGAAGAAGUGUCCCUCGCCGCAGAAGAAUCUAUGAUUCAUGUCCCCAAUAAAGCUUGUUUUCUGAUGGCACAUAAUGGAUGGGUAAUGGGAGAUGACCCUCUUCGAAACUUUGCUGAACCAGGUUCAGAUGUUUAUCUAAGAAGAGAACUUAUUUGCUGGGGAGACAGUGUUAAAUUACGCUAUGGGAAAAAACCACAGGACUGCCCUUAUCUCUGGGAACACAUGAAAAAAUACACUGAAAUAACUGCGACGUAUUUCCAGGGAGUCCGUCUUGACAACUGCCACUCAACACCUCUUCAUGUAGCCGAGUACAUGUUGGAUGCUGCUAGGAAAUUGCAACCCAAUUUGUAUGUAGUAGCUGAACUGUUCACAGGAAGUGAAGAUCUGGACAAUAUCUUUGUUACUAGACUGGGCAUUAGUUCCUUAAUAAGAGAGGCAAUGAGUGCAUAUAACAGUCAUGAGGAGGGUAGAUUAGUUUAUCGAUAUGGAGGAGAACCCGUUGGAUCCUUCGUUCAGCCCUGUUUGAGGCCUCUAAUGCCAGCUAUCGCCCACGCCCUGUUUAUGGAUAUUACCCACGAUAACGAGUGUCCCAUUGUGCACAGGUCGGCAUAUGAUGCUCUGCCAAGUUCCACGAUUGUUUCCAUGGCAUGUUGCGCUAGUGGAAGUACUAAGGGCUAUGACGAAUUAGUGCCGCAUCAGAUUUCAGUAGUUUCUGAAGAACGGUUUUACACUAAGUGGAAUCCUGCAGCAUCGCCAUCAGAUACAGGUGAAGUUAAUUUCCAGAGUGGCAUCAUUGCAGCCAGGUGUGCUAUCAAUAAACUUCACCAAGAGCUUGGAGCCAAGGGUUUCAUUCAGGUAUAUGUGGAUCAAGUUGAUGAAGACAUAGUGGCAGUAACAAGACACUCACCUAGUAUCCAUCAAUCAGUUGUGUCUGUGUCUAGAACUGCUUUCAGGAAUCCCAAAACUUCAUUUUACAGCAAGGAAGUACCUCAAAUGUGCAUCCCUGGCAAAAUUGAAGAAGUAGUUCUGGAAGCUAGGACUGUUGAGAGAAACACAAAACCUUAUAGGAAGGAUGAGAAUUCAAUCAAUGGAAUGCCAAAUAUCACCGUAGAAAUUAGAGAACAUAUUCAGCUAAAUGAAAGUAAAAUUGUUAAACAAGCUGGAGUUACCACAAAAGGACCCAAUGAAUACAUUCAAGAAAUAGAAUUUGAAAACUUGUCUCCAGGAAGUGUUAUUAUAUUCCGAGUUAGUCUUGAUCCACAUGCACAAGUCGCCGUUGGAAUUCUCCGAAAUCAUCUAACACAGUUCAGUCCUCACUUUAAAUCUGGGAGUCUUGCUGUUGACAAUGCAGAUCCUAUAUUGAAAAUUCCUUUUGCUUCUAUUGCCUCUAAAUUAACUUUGGCUGAGCUGAAUCAGGUACUUUACCGAUGUGAAUCAGAAGAACAAGAAGAUGGUGGAGGGUGUUAUAACAUACCAAACUGGUCACCUCUUAAAUACGCAGGUCUUCAAGGAUUAAUGUCCGUAAUGGCGGAAAUAAGACCACGGAAUGACUUGGGGCAUCCCUUUUGUGAUAAUUUGCGAUCUGGAGAUUGGAUGAUUGACUAUGUCAGCAAUCGGCUUAUUUCACGAUCAGGAACUAUUGCUGAAGUUGGUAAAUGGCUGCAGGCCAUGUUCUUCUACCUGAAGCAGAUCCCACGUUACCUCAUCCCAUGUUAUUUUGAUGCCAUAUUAAUUGGUGCAUACACCACUCUUCUGGAUACAGCAUGGAAACAGAUGUCAAGCUUUGUUCAGAAUGGUUCUACCUUUGUGAAACACCUUUCACUGGGUUCAGUCCAAAUGUGUGGAGUAGGAAGAUUCCCUUCUCUGCCACUUCUUUCCCCUUCACUUACGGAUGUACCAUACAGGCUGAAUGAGAUCACAAGAGAGAAGGAGCAAUGUUGUGUGUCACUGGCUGCAGGUUUACCUCAUUUUUCUUCUGGCAUUUUCCGCUGCUGGGGAAGGGAUACUUUUAUUGCACUUAGAGGGCUACUGCUGAUUACUGGACGCUAUUUGGAAGCCAGGAAUAUUAUUUUAGCAUUUGCUGGUACCCUGAGACACGGUCUCAUUCCUAAUCUCCUGGGUGAAGGAACUCAUGCCAGAUAUAAUUGCCGGGAUGCCGUGUGGUGGUGGCUGCAGUGCAUUCAGGAUUAUUGUAAAACGGUUCCAAACGGUCUAGAUAUUCUCCAGUGCCCAGUUUCCAGAAUGUAUCCUACAGAUGAUUCUGUUCCUUUGUCUGCUGGCACACUGGAUCAACCAUUGUUUGAAGUAAUACAGGAAGCUAUGCAAAGACACAUGCAGGGGAUACAGUUCCGCGAAAGGAAUGCUGGCCCACAGAUAGACCGGAACAUGAAGGAUGAAGGUUUUAACAUAACGGCAGGGGUUGAUGAAGAAACAGGAUUUGUUUAUGGAGGAAACCGCCUCAAUUGUGGUACAUGGAUGGAUAAAAUGGGAGAAAGUGACAGAGCCAGAAACAAAGGAAUCCCAGCCACUCCAAGAGAUGGGUCUGCUGUGGAAAUUGUGGGCCUGAGUAAAUCUGCUGUUCGUUGGUUGCUGGAAUUAUCCAAAAAAAAUAUUUUUCCUUAUCAUGAAGUGACAGUAAAAAGACACGGAAAGGUUGUGAGAGUCUCAUAUGAUGAGUGGAACAGAAAAAUACAAGACCACUUCGAAAAGUUCUUUUAUGUGUCGGAAGACCCUUCAGAUGUCAAUGAAAAGCAUCCCAAUCUGGUGCACAAACGCGGCGUGUACAAAGAUAGCUAUGGAGCUUCAAGCCCUUGGUGCGACUACCAGCUCAGGCCUAAUUUUACCAUAGCAAUGGUUGUGGCCCCAGAGCUCUUUACUAUUGAAAGAGCAUGGAAGGCUUUGGAGAUUGCAGAAAAAAAGUUGCUUGGUCCUCUUGGCAUGAAAACUUUGGAUCCAGAUGAUAUGGUUUACUGUGGAACUUAUGACAAUGCCUUAGACAAUGACAACUACAAUCUUGCUAAAGGUUUCAAUUAUCACCAAGGACCUGAGUGGCUGUGGCCCGUUGGAUAUUUUCUUCGUGCGAAAUUAUAUUUUUCCAAAUUGAUGGGUCCAGAGGCUACUGCAAAGACUAUAUUUUUGGUUAAAAAUGUUCUUUCUCGACAUUAUGUUCAUCUAGAGCGAUCCCCUUGGAAAGGACUUCCAGAACUGACCAACGAGAAUGGACAAUACUGUCCUUUCAGCUGUGAAACACAAGCCUGGUCAAUUGCCACUAUUCUUGAAACACUCCAUGACUUAUAGUUGACUCAUUAAAUGUGCAGUCAAUUGUGUUGUUGAAUGCAAGGUCAUACUAUAAUGUAAAUGCUUCAUAUGCACAUGCGCAAGUCAUUUUAACAUCUCAUUCAUAUAAUGACGCCCACUGUAAAGCACUGGUUUUUCUUUUUCAUUCUCUCUUUUUUUUUUAAUGUACAGAGUAGCUUUUGAUUUGAGUAAGAAAAAAAUCAUCGCUACCAAUGGAAUGUUUUUCUUUUGAGGUCAGGAAGUAGUCUGCAAAUGCCUAGAAGUAAAUAAAUUGAAAUCCAAAGUUUUAAAAAGAAAAGUCAUGUAAUCUUAUAUUUGUACAUAAAUGACAAUGAAAUGUGAGAAUGUAAUAAUGAAAGAAAUGGAAAAGUAUCUUUAAAUUGUGGUCUAUGUUUUCCUCAGUAACAAUACAUACGAAAUAGGCUGUGUAAUUAAUGUUCUCACCUUUACUGUAGUGUUUCCAGCACCUUCCACACUGUGUUCAAUAAAUACUAAAUUAAUGUUGAAUCAUGGAAGUGUCUACCUACAAUAUAUGUUCAUAAAUGGAGCACAGAUAUCUAUAAUGUGCUUUUAUUUUUUUCACUGAUAUGUUAAAAUGUUUUUAAUAUAAUGAAUUUCAACAGUAUUUUUAUCAUAGUUCACUUCUGCUAAUGAUGCAUAGGAUAUAUGAAAAAAACCACAAAGCAUUAGGAAUUUAUUUUCUAGAAACAGUUUUGUAAAAUGAGUCUUGAGUUCCAGUUUCCUACUAUGAUAUGGUUUACAUUUUCAAAAUGCAAAUUGUUGGGCAUAUUUAUGAGAACUUUAAAGAAAAAAUGCUAUAUUAAUUUUCUAAAACUUAACUAUUUUUAGCUUGUGUGUAAAAGUGUAUUAUACUGGUUUCCUAUUAACUGAAACCUGUUGACAAGUUUAGCAUUGAGAACAGUCUUAAUAUAAAUAAAGAUAUGAAUUCAGUAGUUAUCUUGAAUUAAAUAAAAUCAUUUCAAAAGUUUUUCAUGUUAUUUUAAGAUACCUUAGAUAUAGAAAAGUCAUGAAAGGAAAAAGGCUUUUAACAUUUGUAUGAUUUGACAUUUUGAAUAAUGCUUAUUUUCUAGAUUUUUUUUUUACUGUUUUACUGUUUUUGUCUCAAGACACUUAAAUUAGACCACUAUACCUUCAGUUGAAAGAAAAUAGUUGCAAAAAUCCUUUCAUUAUUAUAUAAUAUUAUUCAAUAGUAUAUUUAUAAUUAAUAUAAUGGUGCAGUAACACCUUUCUCAGUUAGAGGUCACAUACCCAACUACUUUAACUAUGAAGGAGUAAAAAUAAGAAAAACAAGUAAACUGAAAUUUAUGGGUAAAUUUAUAUUUAAGUAAAAAUAUAGAAAUGCUUCAGAUGUCAAAUACUGAUGGUCAGCACUACUUUUUUUUUUUUUUUUUUUUUGUCUUUUUGCCAUUUCUUGGGCCACUCCUGCGGCAUAUGGAGGUUCCCAGGCUAGGGGUCGAAUCAGGGCUGUAGCCACCGGCCUACGCCAGAGCCACAGCAACGCGGGAUCCGAGCCGCGUCUGCAACCUACACCACAGCUCAUGGCAAUGCCAGAUCAUUAACCCACUGAGCAAGGGCAGGGAUGGAACCCGCAACCUCAUGGUUCCUAGUCGGAUUCAUUAACCACUGCGCCACGAUGGGAACUCCAGCACUACUUUAGAAGUAGAUUUAACUAGCUUAGUUUCCUGGUUUCCAAACCUAAAGCAGAUUAAAUUCUACAGAUUUAAGGACAGUUGUGAUAGCAAUCUGACAACUAUAAAUGCAUUGUUUCCAAGUUUCCCCUCCUUCUUCACUGCUAAAUUUAUAACCAUCUCUAACCUGGGCAGUUAAAAAGAAUGACUUUUCUUGAGGGAGAACUAUUAAUCAUCAAAGAUUCACACAGUUCUGUUGUUGAAAUUUAACUUCUGAAUUAGGUCUCCCUGGUAGCCUAGUGGUUAAGGAUCCAGCAUUGUCACUGAUGUGGCUUCGGUUUGACCCCUCACCUGGGAACUUCCCUAUGCUGUGGGUGUGGCCAAAAAAAGUAAUAAAAUAAAGAUGGUAAGAAAAGUAUCUGAAAACCAAUAUAUUUAACGAAAGCAAAAGGUAAUGACUGACCGACAGUUGUAAAAAAUGAAUGAAUUCUAAUAAAUAAAUAAUAAGUUGACAGUUUUGAACCAUAGCUGUAUUGGAUUAUCUGUAAUAGGGCAAAUAUCCACCUCAGUGAUUUUUGGAUAUCAUCUUGCCACUAGAAAAUUAAGUGGUUCAUAUUCCUUAUUAGGCAUAUUAAUGACAAUUAUUAUAACCUGCAUGGCCUAUUUUAAAGUUUGAGAGGCAUGUUACACAUUAUUUCAUCAAAUGUAGCUAAAAUAACAGCUUUAGACUUUAUUUGACUAAAAAGUAUUUAAGUAGAAUGCUUCAUUCCUGAGUGAUGUUAGAUGAGGUACCGUAAUAUUGCAUUUUGAGAAUGGUUCUGUGCCUUGGUUCUUCAUUAAUUCAAGUCAGUCUUGCUCUUUAACUUGAGAAGUUUGCCAGUUUAACCAGUAUGCUGUGAUAAUUUUAUGAGUUUCAAGGGUAACUGAGGAAGUAUGAGACCUGUCAUCCUAUCUCUGAACACUGUAACCCACGUGAAUUGUAAUCCAUUUCUGCUAUGUCUUCAGCUGCUCUGUCUAGUGGGCAAAUGUCACUUUUAUGUCAUGUGCCAAGAAAAUAAAAAUCUUUUCUAAGGGACUGUA